GCCACAUGCCAGGACGGAGUGAACAGCUUCAUCUGUCAGUGCGCACCUGGGUACACUGGAACUCUAUGUGAAACAGAUAUCGACGAGUGUGCGAGCAGUCCGUGUUUAGGAGGAGGAACAUGCGUGGAUCACGUGAACAGCUACAGCUGUGUCUGUCCUAAAGGUCACGUCGGAGACGAGUGUGAAACGGAGCCUAAGCCAUGCCAGCGGAACAUCUGCUACAACAAUGGCAUUUGCUCAACCUGUUUCAACGACUCUUACAGUGUCUGUUCCUGUCCCGAUGGAUAUGAGGGGGACCUCUGCAAUAUCGACAUUGACGAGUGCUCCUCCAAUCCUUGUCAAAACGAUGGACUUUGCAACAACGGCGUGAACUCUUACUUCUGCCACUGCACUGUUGGAUAUGGAAGAGACAACUGUCAAAC